AUGACGCGACCGUGGAAACAAUUCGCGGCGUUUCCCCGUGUAAUCACGCUUCUCGGGCUUUGCGGUUACAGCCGGAUCCCCGCCGGCGCCCGGCUCGGCCAUCGGGAAGGCAGCCCGGCAUCACCCCGCACCCAGCGCACAACCCCGGGGAUGCUCCGCGAAGUUGCGCUCCCCCCGCCCCGACCCCCCGGCCCCCACUCACCGAGGCGGGGUUGGUCCUCUGCCCACGCUCCUUCUCCCGGCACUGCAGCCCCGCCAGGUGCCUCUCCAGGGCUGCCCAGUCCAUGGCGGGCGGCUGCGGUUCCCGGGGGGGUUGCGCCGUUCCCCCACCCCCGCCCCGCCGCGCCCGCCGCCCGCCUGGCCCCGGUGCCCCCCCGCCGCUCCGCCGCUGCUGCUGCUGCUUCGGGGGCAGCGGGCGGUGGUGCGGCCGCGGGCGGGGAGCGGCGGAGCGCUGCGGGGAGCGGCGGAGGGAGGGAGCGGCGCGGAGGGCAUCGGCGGGGCCCGGGCAGCGGGGAGGCAGGUAGGCGGCUUCGUCGUCCUCGUCGUCGUCGUCCUCCUCCUCUUCUUCCUCCGAAUCGUCGUCCAGCGCCGCCAGGUCUAAGCUGCUGGGGGACGGCGAGGACUUGCAGUCGGAGCACGGAGUCACUUUGCUGGAGUUGGACUCCGAGCUGGAGCGGCUGCUGCCGGCGUCGCUGCCUAAAUCCAUGCCAUCCUCCCGGGAAUCCUGGCGGGGGGAGGGGGAGGAGGGGAGGGGUGCGAAGAGAAAGGUUCCGCGUUAAAAAUUAUGAAUGCAUGUACAUAGAUCUCUAUCUAUCCCCGUCUGAGCCCGCGGGUACCGCGCACCGCCCGCCCCGGAGGCUCCGCCGCUCAGAAGCGCCUCCGGCGGCGGUCGGGGAGGAGAGGAGGGGGCGGAGGGGGCGGCCGCCGGCGGGGCCCGGCCCCGGGUCGGUAACGGGGAGGGGAGAGCUUUGCCCGCGCUUCCCAGUUCUUUUUUGGCCGUUGAACUGA
rnacentral:lncRNA from 1 species